UAAUUAAACGUGUUAAAGUUUAAAAACAAAUUUUAAUUAUGACAUGUAUCUUAACAUUUAUAUAAAUAUAUAUCAUAACCUAAAUAUAAAUGAUUUAACAAUUUAAAUUAGAAAAAAUAAAAAAUCCCGGGCGUAGCCCGGGUUAAUCCCUAGUCUAUAUAUAUAAAAGAGGGUUUGGAUCCCUCCUAGGCUGUCCAAAUAGGAUUCAAGCUAGGAAAUUCGUGUUUUGAGAGCGUGACACGUGUCAAGGACAUUCAAAACACACCGUUUCAUUUAAACUUCACUUUGAUGGGCUUUAUUCUGGGCCGACUAACAAACAAAAAAGCCUGUUUUCUCUACCCUCUUCUUCAUGAAUUUGAUUCUUAGGAUUCAUCGUCGCUGCGUAAAUUUUUUUGUGUGCCAUCCAUGGCGGUUCUGAAAAGGCGUGUGACUUCCUCUAUAAACGUCAAGUCAGUGCCUGUUUAUGUCGUUUCGGUCUCUCUUCUUAAUCUCUGAACAGUUACAAAUCUAAAAAGCUUGACUCUUCAUGUCCACUACAACCACGAUCGUGCAUUCAAUGAUUCUUAUCCUUCAUCCAGGCGGUGAUUGUAUAAAAAGGUAUGCCUUCUUCCCUUUAGCAUCAUCCUUACAGUUCUUAAUAUCGAGAGAAGUUUUAUUUACAGUAUUAUGGUAAUUCUUCAGUACUUCUCACCUCUCCCAGGACCAGAAUGAUUAUCCCUGCCCGAUGGAUCUAAAUCCAUCCCUUAAUGUCGUCGGGUUUGAUUUGAGGACCGGCCGGUGUUCUUCCACGGUGGAGGUGCGGCUGCUCAGAUUUGUCUGGCUUUGAGGUUUUUUGCUGUUGUGGUAUCAAAUAUAAUCUGUUUGGUUCUAAUAUUUUUUUUUUUUGGUAAAAAGUUUGGUUCUAAUAUGGUUUGUAUGUAACUCAGUUUUCAUAUAAUUGCUCUGACAAAAUGUGUCAUGAACUUAUUGUUUUGAGCUACGUUUCUAAUUAUUUUUAGAUCACCGAAGUAAUUACGGAGCAAUGGAUUCAGGCUCAGCAGCUUGAACAGGUCUUUAGUUUUUGCUUUAAAGUUUGUCGUUCAAUGAAAUUGGAUUUUGUGAGUUGUGAUAAGUAGUGUUCAAUGCAAUUGGAUUUUGUGAGUUGUGAUAAGUAGUUCUAACCGUAGUACUCACUCGUUACCAAAGUUGAUCAUUUUGUUUUUCCCUACUGCACCUUGGAGAAUUCAGCGGUCGUACUUAAAGUCUAAAAGCUUUUACUGUAGCUUAAUCAUCUUAUAAGCCUCUCAUUACGUAUAUCUCUAUUUAGCUCAUUAGUGACAUCCAAGGAAAACAUUUGCCCAAAGUUCAAGAAGCAUUUGAUGUUCAUUGGGAUGGAAAGAAAGCUUCUCUCUUUGUGCAAUCAUAUCUCACAUAAGCCCUGUCUCAGUAAAAUAUCUUCUGGGCUACUGUUACUAGACACCACCACCAGGUUUUGUUUCAUAAUCUUUACAUCUCAUCAUGUCUAUGAUUUAGAUCGUAUAUAUAAUGCGUAACUAAACUUUGCUUUGAUUCUUUAUAGUUGCAAGGGUUCAUCAAACAUGAGAUGGGAAGAACCGAGAUCACACAUGGGUAAAAUAUCUUAUAUGUAUUUUUUUUGGAUAAAAUGUAAAUUAUAUUAUCAGAAGUAAAUGUUUGUUACAAGCUAGGUGCAGACAGCUUCGUUGGCAAAAAAAAGGAAGCUAAACGUGAAAAUAAGUACGAGAAACUUGGAUUAGCUAUAAGUUAACCAGACUGCAAGGAGACUGGCACAUCCUUUGUUGAACCUUUGUGAAGGAUGUUCCGGGUGAGCCUGUCAAUGUGAGCAAAGGUAGUACCAUGAGGUUUAGCAACGCAUGAGUGUAACCUGUUUUUCCUCUCUUUCCAGAGAAGAUAAGAAUGUUCCUUGAGUGACCAGUUUUCUUAGUAACAAACAAGAUCACCCUUCUGUUGGAGAGAAGGGAGCCAAGCGGUCAAUUUUCUCUAAAAUUUGUUUAGUUAACAUUAUUGCGUUGAGAAAAUAAGUUAACAUUAUUAAUUCAUAUUAUAUGAAUGAGAUAUUUUAAAUUCCAUCAUAGCAUAUUUGAAAAAAAAUCAAAAUCUGCUGAAACAUAACAUUGUUUGAAUCCAUUUUCAAUAUUGAUCAAAUCAUCCGAACAGCACUCAAAGCAAAAAUAAUGUUUUUCAGUCAUCGAUUGAAUGUAUGCCAAACAUUCGUUUGAAAAUCAUUAGCACCAUUAUAAGACUUUAUAUAGUCACGUGAAAGUAUUUCAAUAUCUUAAUCUAAGGAUUUUAGAUCAUGGAUGAACUAAAUAUAACAAAUAUUUAUCGUCCUAAAUAAUUUAAAUAUUAUGUAUAAAUGAAAUGAAACAACUAUAAAAAGUUAUUUCUAAUUUUUAUACCUAAUUGUAAACGUAUUUUCAUAGCCAAGUAAAAAAAAAAUAUUAAAACAUCAAAUGUAGCCAUUAUCAUUUUCAUCGAAUUAUUUAAAAUGAUUAGAAAAAAAUUCUCUAAUAAAAAUAACAAAACAAAUAAUUAAAGUGUAUGUUAUUUUAAUUAAUAAUAGUUUAUAGUUUCACAUUUUCAUUACAAUUUAAGAUACUUUUAUAUUAUUCAUUCAUUCGCUGCUCGCCUGUAAGGCGGGUUUUCCCUAGUAUUAUUAUGAAGAAGGGUUUGCUUCUUUUCUGUUGCGCCAUGUCACCCGCCACGUCAGAAAUUUGGCUUCUGAUGGAAUUACAGGUGUCCACUCUAACCUGUGCGCUGUCUUUCAUUAACAAGUGUUGGGCUACGGUUGAUUUAAUGCAAGCCUGUAACUUGAUAAAAAGCCCUAAGCUUUUGACAUUGUCGUCUCCCUUCAUUGUAUAGAGACUUUUCAUCUUCGUUGUUAUCGUAUGUAGCACUGAAAAGCAUCUGUUUCUUUUGUCUUCGUGGUUACUCUCCCUUAAUUCAAUCAUCAUGAUCUAGCCUUGAAUGCGUGCUUUGAUUAGGAGUCGGUGAAUCCAAGAGCAUAUUUAGGUGAACAUUCUUUCUCUUACAGGCGACGGAAAAGGCUAAGUCUGCAGCAGAAUCUGUCAGAUUCAUCAGCUUCUCCUUCUAGCAUCAUUAGAAUCCUUAGUAACCCUCACACCAGGAAUGGCUGUCCCAACGAUUUUGCUCGCCGACUUCAAAUCUGGGCGCUAUUCCAACACCGCCGGAGUCCGAUUACAUAGAUUAUGGGAAGUCUGAAACCUUAAGAAAGGUGGUGAACUCAUGGCCUAUGUGUCUCAUGGCUGUCGACAUGCUCCUUGGUAAUUCCGGUGUCAUAUAACUCCUUUUUUGUUUUGAAAAAAGUCAUAUAAUCUUUCUUCCUGCUUUUACUGCCUUUUUUAAUUCAAUAUGGAAAGUAUAAUUCCUUUUGAUUUUGACCUAUCACAGUCGACAAUGAUUCAAAGUUCUGUUAACGCACACUGGCUCAACACCUUCAGGCUCAAUGUACUCUGUUACUGGGUUCGACAUUACACGUAAGAACCCAAACUUCAAGCUGUCGGAUUCCAAGCUCUCCAUACGGUUCAAUGAUGAGACCGCCUUUGCUGAGAUUACCGACUCGGUCAAUCCGAGACGAUUGGAGUUGUUUCUGCAAUGAAGAGAAUCUGCUUGCUUUGGCUAACACCAGUACUCAUCUUCCUGACAUCAUUGGUCAGUUGACCGGGAGCAAAUCAACCAUUAAAAUUCAAAGGUUAGCCUCAUUCUCAUUUCUAAAACUUUCUUUAGUGUCGUUUCUUCUCACAUAAAAAAAAAUGAAACUUUUAACAUCAGUGCAAAUUUUACACAUGUACAUGGAUGUAUCGGGUUGGCUUGGUACGUUCGAUUCAAUGACUGUUGCGUUUCUUGAAGAUUACAGAGCUCCAGCCUAGACCCAAAGGUUAUUGUGUCAGCCCAAAAAUUGUUGGAGGUAGUUAUACUUAUGCUCUUUGAUUGCUGGUUUUUCAGAGAAAUGCUUAUAUGUUUUUAUUUAUUUAACUACAUAUCAAAUAGUCUCUACAACUAUGUGUAACUGAUCUACAAUUCAUACGCAUGUCGGUUUAUUCCUGAACACAUUUCUUUUCUUUUCACCUUUUCAGGCCAAGCUUGGAGAAUUAGGAGUUGGACUUUCUGAAAUCAAUGCUAAUAAUGACAAGUUGCAUCACUUUCACAAUGAACUUGUGGAGUUUAAGCUCCUUCUUGACAAGGUAAUAUGUUAUCAUUUUACUCAGUCUUUGUAGAUAAUUCGCCUUAUUAUUACACAGAAAAAGUCUUGAAAUGGUUUGUAACUAAUUUUACAGCUUUGUGGUUCUAUAAAAUAUACUUGAUCUUUGUCAACACAAUUAAUGACUGUACAUGACUCUACAGUGCGAAUGACACAUUUAAACUGUUA